AAAGCUCUAAGCNAGUGAAUCCACUUAAUUCCUG
rnacentral:tRNA from 1 species